GUUAACCGGAAUUAGGGGUUAUUAAGUGGAAGCUGGUUGGAUCUGUUUCUAUGGCAAUCUGCGCAGAGAUGGAGCCCCAGCCUUAUGCCCUGUGCUACCUGGGGAGACUCCAAGACCCCUGGACCAUGAGCAGAAUAAGCAGCUGGAAGGAUACCUGCAGACACUCCCGUUUCCCCGGGUUUCUCCUGUAUUUCAAGGCCAUCUCCUGGCACCUUCUCAUUUUGUUGUUUCUCCUGGAUUUUACAUAUGAUUUCACAUAUCCAAGGGUCCCGGGAAACUGUUGGGCCUCCUGAAUCUGCCAGGGUAUCCAUGACCCUCCUCUGCCCCCAGUCCUACCCAGG